rnacentral:rRNA from 1 species
AUUGAACGCUGGCGGCAGGCCUAACACAUGCAAGUCGAACGAGUGGCGGACGGGUGAGUAAUGUCUGGGAAACUGCCUGAUGGAGGGGGAUAACUACUGGAAACGGUAGCUAAUACCGCAUACCCUCAGAUGUGCCCAGAUGGGAUUUGCGAGUUGGUGGGGUAACGGCUCACCAAGGCGACGAUCCCUCGCUGGUCUGAGAGGAGGACCAGCCAAACUGGAACUGAGACACGGUCCAGACUCCUACGGGAGGCAGCAGUGGGGAAUAUUGGACAAUGGGCGCAAGCCUGAUGCAGCCAUGCCGCGUGGAAGAAGAAGGCCUUCGGGUUGUAAAGUACUUUCAGCGGGGAAGCGUUACCCGCAGAAGAAGCACCGGCUAACUCCGUGCCAGCAGCCGCGGUAAUAC